rnacentral:sRNA from 1 species
UUGUGCAGGCUGAGGCUGGGGGCAUGCACACCGUGUGUCUAAGCAAAAGUGGCCAGGUCUAUUCCUUCGGCUGCAAUGAUGAGGGUGCCCUGGGAAGGGACACAUCAGUGGAGGGCUCGGAGAUGGUCCCUGGGAAAGUGGAGCUGCAAGAGAAGGUGGUACAGGUGUCAGCAGGAGACAGUCACACAGCAGCCCUCACCGAUGAUGGCCGUGUCUUCCUCUGGGGCUCCUUCCGGGACAAUAACGGUGUGAUUGGACUGUUGGAGCCCAUGAAGAAGAGCAUGGUGCCCGUGCAGGUGCAGCUGGAUGUGCCUGUGGUAAAGGUGGCCUCAGGAAACGACCACUUGGUGAUGCUGACAGCUGAUGGUGACCUCUACACCUUGGGCUGCGGGGAACAGGGCCAGCUAGGCCGUGUACCUGAGUUAUUUGCCAACCGUGGUGGCCGGCAAGGCCUCGGUUGCUGUGAAGUUAAAUGAGUUAAUGAGAAGAAUAUCAGGCAGAUGAACGACUCCUGGUCCCCAAGUGUGUGAUGCUGAAA